rnacentral:pre_miRNA from 1 species
UUUGCCCUGUAAAGGCAAAAUUGACCAGUAAGAUAUAUAUCUUACUGGUCAAUUUUGCCUUUACAGGGCAAAA